GACGAACGCUGGCGGCGUGCCUAAUACAUGCAAGUUGAGCGCUGAAGGUUGGUACUUGUACCAACUGGAUGAGCAGCGAACGGGUGAGUAACGCGUGGGGAAUCUGCCUUUGAGCGGGGGACGACAUUUGGAAACGAAUGCUAAUACCGCAUAAAAACUUUAAACACAAGUUUUAAGUUUGAAAGAUGCAAUUGCAUCACUCAAAGAUGAUCCCGCGUUGUAUUAGCUAGUUGGUGAGGUAAAGGCUCACCAAGGUGAUGAUACAUAGCCGACCUGAGAGGGUGAUCGGCCACAUUGGGACUGAGACACGGCACAAACUCCUACGGGAGGCAGCAGUAGGGAAUCUUCGGCAAUGGACGAAAGUCUGACCGAGCAACGCCGCGUGAGUGAAGAAGGUUUUCGGAUCGUAAAACUCUGUUGGUAGAGAAGAACGUUGGUGAGAGUGGAAAGCUCAUCAAGUGACGGUAACUACCCAGAAAGGGACGGCUAACUACGUG
rnacentral:rRNA from 1 species